GGACAUUGGCUGGACGCGCUUCGGCGCACCCAGAAACCCUUUGUGAACUUAUACCUAUUGUUGCCUCGGCGUCAGGCCGGCCUCUUCACUGAGGCCCCCCGGAGACGGGGAGCAGCCCGCCGGCGGCCAACUAAACUCUUGUUUCUAUAGUGAAUCUCUGAGUAAAAAACAUAAAUGAAUCAAAACUUUCAACAACGGAUCUCUUGGUUCUGGCAUCGAUGAAGAACGCAGCGAAAUGCGAUAAGUAAUGUGAAUUGCAGAAUUCAGUGAAUCAUCGAAUCUUUGAACGCACAUUGCGCCCUCUGGUAUUCCGGAGGGCAUGCCUGUUCGAGCGUCAUUUCAACCCUCAAGCCUGGCUUGGUGAUGGGGCACUGCUUCGAAAGGAGCAGGCCCUGAAAUUCAGUGGCGAGCUCGCCAGGACCCCGAGCGUAGUAGUUAUAUCUCGCUUUGGAAGGCCCUGGCGGUGCCCUGCCGUUAAACCCCCAACUUCUGAAAAUUUGACCUCGGAUCAGGUAGGAAUACCCGCUGAACUUAAGCAU
rnacentral:sRNA from 1 species